CCGGGCGGGCCGGGCCGGGGCGGCUCCGGUACCGGGGGCGGGCGCCGCUCUUUGACCCUCGGGUUGGUCGGGGAGCCCGGUUUUGUCGGGAAAGCCGGAUCCGCGCCGGGAUGCGGACAAAGACACGGAGCAGCUGUUCGGGAAUAAAGCUGAAAUAGUAGAACCUGGGAGAGAAGUUAGCUUGGGGGAGCUAUUAUUUUCGCCGCAAAACCCUCGGGAGGUAUUAAACAGCUGCAUCCAAACGACGGAGCGACCCAAAGGCCGGGAUCCCACCGCCUCGCCGUCGAGCAGCGGGCGCGUGGCUCAGCGCACGGCCGCAGGUGGAGCAGCCCCGGCCCCGCAGCCCCUCUCCAAUGAUGGGUGUAAUGUAACGUGGCUGCCGCGGGACACAACGCCGGGACGCGGGCGCUGGGUCUGGCUGUCGGUGACGUCUGGCUGGCUGGGUGCUGGCUGUAGGGUUCGGGGGAUGGAAGGAAGGGGGUAAAAAUCAAUCUUUGCCUCCACUAGGUUCCUCUGCAAAGAGCAGCGUAGCAGAGCGGUUGGGAGAGCUGUGCUGGACAGAGGACGGCCGGCCGCGAGCGGAGCCUCCCACCGGCGAGCAUUGCCAGGCGAGGAGAGAAAACCUGGGCAGCCUUAAAACACUCAGAGUGUAAUGUGACGCUUCCAAACCUUUGCAGCCUGCGGUAAGCCGAGGGAAGCAAUGAGUAACCUUUGCUUUCAAGUGAAAACGGUGCGGUGGUAACAUCCCGAUGGAGCCCGUGCGCAUCGGGCAUUGUUUGGAAUUCUUGCCAUAUUUUAACCUCUGCCGUGUUGGCUGCUCGCAGGAACAAGCUGAGCGCUCCGAGAUAACACUGCGUUUUGUCAGAUGCUUUAUAACGUUGUUUAGAGACGUGCUCGGAUCUAUUUAGUGCUUCAUAAAUAUGAAUAAAGCGUUUACAAAAGGCACGUCACCGCAGAAGUAACCGUGGAUUAUGCCAGCUGCUCGCAGUUUACACGUUACAAAUUUCCUAAACUGUUCUGAACUACAUUUUACCGGGGGCGUUUUUACCCGCGAUUAAAUACAACUCAGCGCUGCCCAGCAAAUAUCUCUGUUGAUUUAUGUAUAGGAAAUCGGGGAAUCAGCAUUGGCCCAAACCCCAAAUUACUGCUGAAGCAGUUUCAAAUAUUUAUGGACCUGUUAUGGGAGGAGAGAGGAAUGUCAUGUUUUUUUUUUCCCAAGGCCUCGCUGUGCGCAGACCGAUUUUCUCAGCCGUUUCCGCCCCGGGUGCGGGGUGCCCUGCAGCCCCCCCAGCACAGAUGGGUUUGUGAUGUGAUUGCUGUGCUGUUGGCUGCAGGACAGUGCGGGUUGCAGCCCUGGGUUGCUGUAGGCACAGCCAUGGUAGUGUGGUUGCAAUCCUGCUGCCCUCCGGCCCUCAGUGCUUUUGUUUGUCCUGGAAAAACGCAGCGCGGUCCCGCAAGGCCUUGCGUUUGUGCUGGGCAUGAAUUUUGCACUGUCCGUUUUAUUUUACCCUCUUGUUUUGUGUUGUUGAUUUUGGUUUGCUUUUUUUUUUUUUUUUUUUUUUUUCUGGGUUCUCUCCUAGCACACACGCAGUCUUCCUCAGGGGUCCCCAAAAGGAGUUGUGCCACUCCCUGAGCAUCCCCCAGCCCAGCAUGGUGUUGGGAUGCAGGCAGAAGCCUCGGUGGGUGCAGGGCUGUGCCAGGAGCAGCCACCGUUUCUACUGCAGAUGUGAACAGGGGGUGCCCAGCUGGGUGGAAGGUACUCCCCCAUGUAUUGUGGUGGUCGUGAAGUCCCAUUCAAGUGAUGCUCUGCACACCGUUGGGCUUCUCUCUCUCCCCCCGGCCCCCACCCCCCCCCCCCCCCCCCCCCCCAAAAAAAAAAAAGAAAAAGAAAAAGAAAAAACACACACACGGAAAACACAACCCCAGUGUGAGCAUCCUCCUUUUCUCCUUCUUGCAGGGCGAAAGUCUGCUCGAGGAGCCUGAAGACGCACCAUCCCCACUUAUCGCCCCAGAGGCAGGCUAUCUAGCUGACAAGCUGUGCGGUGAAAAACCAGGUGCCCAUGUGCCUGCUGCUCACCCAAGGCCUGAAAGGGAUCAGCUGCUCAUUUUGCAGAGCAAAGUAAGAUGGCAACAAGUAACAUGCAGGGACCUUGUUGUAUCUGUAUGGAUGGACAUAUAUGUGAGUAUGAAGAAAUCGACUGACCCGAGGGGGGAAAUAUCAAAAAAAGUGUGCCUAGAUUGAUGAAAAACAAGCAUUUAUUGUGACACUGACAGCCAAAAAAUGGGCUAUUUCAAGCAAAAUGUCGUGGUCUGAAAACCCCAAAGCCACCAGGACAUUCUGCAAUGAAGCCACAUCACCUGACUCAUGCUUGGGUGACAGUGUUGGGGCCGCACCGCGAUAUGGGGCACUCGCGCCCAUCCCAGCCUCAGAAACCUCCAGUGCCAGACUUUUUACAAAACCCCCAGGUAACCUCUCCUGGCGCUGAACUCUCUUUAUAGUUUGACAUUUUAGCUCGUAUCUAACCUACAUUUCUUUUUUCUUUUUUUUUUUAUGCUGCAAAUUAAGCUGAUUAUUUCUCGUUCUACCCCCAGUGGAUCCAGAGAACAACUCAUCGUGUUUUUCUCUGCAACAGCCUUUUACAUCUUGGAAUACUGUUACCACCUCCUCGUUCCUAAAUUAAACAAACUCAGUUUCAUUGGUCUAUUCUCCUAGGUUAAUGUUUCUAAACUUCUUCCUUGUUCUUGCCCUUCUCCAAACUUUUCUCCCAUCCUUUUUGAAGUUCAGCAUCCAAAAUGGGGCACAGCCCUUGAAACCCAGCUCCCCGCUGCCGAUCAACCUGAUCCAGCUCUCCAAUGAUCACAACACAGAAUGGGCUUUCUCCUCUUUCCCCAUUCUUUUCCCCAUCAUUUGUGGUUCAGUGCAAACCCCGGCUCCUUCGCUGGAAUACUGCUAUGGAAUCGCAUUUUGGUAAUGACACUCUGAUGGAUUUUAAAUGCAUUUCUCUGCUGUGACACAGCUGAGGUUUGCAACACAGCUGAAAAGAAGGUGAAAAAUCUCUACCUGGUGCCACACAAAUGAACGUAUGUAAUCUUUUUCGUUUCAGUAAACUCGCUUUUAAAAUGUCUAGGUUUUAGCAUCGCAGACAUAAUCCUCUUUUGAAAUACAUAUUACAACAUCGUAAGUAUUCUUUAGGGCUUUGGAAAUCGUGCCUUAAUAAAGUCAUAUCCAAACCUGUAAUGUUACAGCCACUGUCAGAUGUUAAGAACUCCGCAGUACAAAUUACCAUCCAGAAUUGCUGCGUAUGGGUCAGGUUUUCAGGUGAGAGGAAGGACCUUCUGUGGUUAAUUUGAAAUACAAGCAAUGCCCUUUGUUCACUCAGAACCACGUGGCUCAUUAAAAUGGAACAAAAUUUGGAAAACUAAGGUUGGUUAUGGCUUGUACUGCUGUUUUACCAUUUGUACUUCACUGCCUGUGGAUGAUUUCCAAACUUGCUCCGCACAUAUGUUUGUAAUAAAAAUAAUACCGUG
ensembl:lncRNA